AUAUUGUUACAUGAUUUAUUUUUCAGAUUUUAUAAUUUAAUUUCAUAUUUUACGAGCUUAGCUAUAUUUUAGAUCUUAUUUCGUCAUUUAUAAUUUAACGUUUUUAUUAACAACAAAUUUUAUUCGAAAACUAAAUUUAUUAUAACACUUUAUAAAAGAAUUAUUUUGGAAAUUAAUUUUAAUGAAAGUCAUUAUUUUAUUUUCUUUAAUUUUGAUGUUCAAAUAUAGUAAUAAAAAUUCUGAAAAUUACCCCAACUUUUCAUAUUUACCAAAAUGCCCUUCUUGACCCAAUUAUAAACCAAGUCAACUCUUCCUUCUCCUCUUCUCUGUCGUGAACAACUGGCAGCCAUGGUGCUUGCCAUCUAAACUUCCUCUAAUGUCUUUAGCCUUGCUGAUUCACUACCUAAACUACUAGAUUUCAUUACUCAUCACCCACUUUUCUGUAUUUCCUUACAUUUGUCAACUUGAGCUUUUGACAUUGAUAUCAUCAGUUCAUCACUUAGGUAAAUGGCCAACUUCUUAUUACUAUAAAUAGUUCUUCAAUUUCUCAAUUAAUCUGCAAAAUAAAAACUUUCUAUUUCAAGUUUUCAGUGUUCACCAUUGAUAAACAUGGUGUUCUUCACCAUCAUCUUCGUUUCAUUUUCAGAACACCACCACCACCACCAUUAACCACCACCGGAAACCACCAAAAACCGUCACCAGAAACGCCAAACCCCACCUCGCUUCUUCCUUUCUUCCGACCGUCGGUACACCGCCCAACUCCCCUGCCUUUCUCCACCUCGCUACUCCCUCCCUGCCUCUCUUUUCGCGGUAGCACCACGCCCACCACCGCCAGCGUCGCCCCCCCCCCCCCAUUCUGUCCCGUUCCGUUUGUCUCACCGUCGACCAACCACCCAGAACCACCGCAGACAUUCCUUUCCCCCCCUCACCGUCCUUUUCUCCUCCUCUCUCGCACUUCCCUGCCUCCCUCUCUCCUCCGCGUUCGAGCAGCAGCCCAGCCACCAGAACCACCCUUCUGGCGUGCUUCCACCUCCCUGCCCAGCAUCGCGUCGCACCUCGCCGCCGGCCGCCGGCCACCGCCCCGCCGCCCAUCUUUCUCCUUCCUUCUUUUCGUUCGAUCCCUGCUCUUUGCGUGCAUUUGGUUUCCAGAAACCAAAGUUCCUAUUGGAACUUUUGGUUUUAUUCACUCAAAGUCAGCCCACCCAACUUAUAAAACUAGGCCCACUAAUAUUGAGUAAGUAUUACUGCUUUUCAAUAUUGAUUUUUGCUAAUUUAUGUUUUAUAAGAAUAAUUUUGGUUAAGUACUUUAACAUUCUUAUAAAGGAAUUUUAUAAAUGACUCAAUAUCUACCAAUUAUUCUUUUUACAUAAAGAAAUUUAUAUAUUUAAAUUAUUAGUUUUAUUAAAAUAGAAUUACUAAGUCAAUAAUUAUUAUUUUAUAAGAUCUCGAUUCUCGGAGCUCAGGAAGAACGAACCAGCGAAAAGGCUUAGCAAAUUGUGGAACUGAGGUACUGCUGGGGACCACGGGAACGAGUAGUGGCGAGGAUUUCACUAUUACCAAGUUCACCUAAGUUAAUGUUAAGUUGUAUCAAGUUUCAGUAAAGAUUCGAGAUUAAGUUAUGUACUUUGAUUAAGGAAUUGAGAAGGAUGAUUAUGUGAAUUUUGGAGUUUAAUAGCUUAUGAUUGAUAGUUGCCUUGUAAUUCCCAAGAGGGAGUUACGGCGGGUAAUGUCCCGACCGAAUUAGGUUAAUUCCGCUGCUAAUUAUGAUUAAAUAAUUGAAUUAGAGGUCGGGGCGUUACAGAAAACCUGGGUACUUGAUUCACAGUCCUUGGUAAGAUCUUACCUAAAACAAAGUGCAACCUUUGUAAUUUGUGAAUGUGAGUAACUUUGGGUUUUAUGGAAUUUGUAUGAGACCUCAAAAUACCCCUCUUCAUAAGCCUGAAAACAGUGGCUACACUAACCAUUAACGCUCCUGCAAACAUCCUUAAACUUGUCCUUUUCUCCAAGGGAACAGCCCUUAACAGUUCUUCAUCAUUUAUCUUUGAUUUUCUACCACAUAGAUUCUUUUUGGUCUGCACAUUAAUGUCCAACCCUUGACUUGCUUGAAUUUUUGCCGAUGACCAUAAUCUGUAAAGUGUGCUUCUAUGAAUAUUCCACUUCUCUGCAAUUUGCUUCCUUUUCCCCCAUGGUAGCUCUAAAUUUGUUGCAGCUGACAAGCAGUCCCUGAUUAUGUGUGCUCUGUUUUUGUUUCCCAAUUCAUGUUUUUUCCUAAGAUUUAGAGCUGUGUCCACAAACAGAGGCAGAAUAACUUCAUCUUCCUCACCUUCAGAAUCUGUCACAUACCAUGUGUCUUCUUCUUCUUCUGUCAUGUCAUCUUCAAAGUGGUUCAUCUGCUCUUCCAGGCUAUGUAGUUCUUCAGCAUCGUACUCCAUUUCAAGUUGCAGCAACUCGUCUGUAUCGAUGAACAUAUAAUCACCAACCCCAUUUGAAGCAACCAAGGCUUCAAACCAACAAUCAUCAUCCAUUGAAGAUGAAGUGCAAACACUGAAAUUGUGAUGUGUGUGCUGAGUGAAUGAGAGAGAAAUGUUUGAGAUAAGUUGUGGAAAAUGGUAAUGAAAAGUGUAAUUUAAUUUUAGAUAUUGGACUUGUAAAAGGGUGGCAGUUACAAAAAAAAAGAACUCUGAAAUUGUGGGCAGCUGAAUUUUUUGGGGGGAAAAGGUAAUUUUUGUAUGUAAAAAGUGUGCAAGUGGAGGGAAGUUGAAAUUUACCAAAAAGUUAAACUUUGAAAUUGUGGGCAACUGAAAUAUUUGGGGGGAAAAGGUACUUUUUGCAUGUAAAAAGUAUGCAAGUGGAGGGAAGUUGAAAUUUACCCCCAAUUUUGUUUAAUGAAUCCACAUGAAAAGUCAGUGGGGACCAGAGCCCACUUGCAUGCCUUUUGAUUAAUUUCUAAUCUAUUUUGCUAACCACUACCCCUCACAUGCAUUUCUUUUUCUCCUAAAAUCUUGUGCCAUUUACAAAUGGUGCAACUAUAACUAAACGGAGGAAGUAUAUUGCACUACCCUUUAAUCAUUUGUUCAAGAGUGCUUGAGAGUGGCAUGGGUGGUCACAACACACACACGCGCGCGCGCCGGGCCGGGCUCGGGCUCGGGCGAGGGCCUUGGGCCUUGGGCCUUGGUACUUGGGCCUUGGUACUUGGGCCUUGGGCCUUG